GGUGAUUCGGAGGUCAACAAGGCGGAUUCGGAGGUCACCACGGUGGAUUCGGAGGUGGCCACGGAGGAUACUAGUUCCUAAAGAUCCAUCGACUACCAAAUAAUUAUAGAUUCAUCAACAAACCCUCAUUGCCAACUCCAUCCUGUUGAUUGUUUUUUACUUUUCUAAUAAAUUAUUUUGUACAUUUUUUUAAAA